AGAGUUUGAUCAUGGCUCAGGAUGAACGCUAGCUACAGGCUUAACACAUGCAAGUCGAGGGGAAACGACAUCGAAAGCUUGCUUUUGAUGGGCGUCGACCGGCGCACGGGUGAGUAACGCGUAUCCAACCUGCCCAUCACUUGGGGAUAACCUUGCGAAAAUAAGACUAAUACCCAAUGAUAUCUCUAGAAGACAUCUGAAAGAGAUUAAAGAUUUAUCGGUGAUGGAUGGGGAUGCGUCUGAUUAGCUUGUUGGCGGGGUAACGGCCACCAAGGCUACGAUCAGUAGGGGUUCUGAGAGGAACGGUCCCCACAUUGGAACUGAGACACGGUCCAAACUCCGUACGGAGGCA
rnacentral:rRNA from 1 species